rnacentral:lncRNA from 1 species
AGCGUCGAUCGAUGUUUGGAUAUGGGCGUCGAUCAAUGGUUGAGUGUGAGCGGCAAUAGAUUUUGACCUUCCUGCGCCGACUGCAUGCUGUUUCUGAAUCAUGGCUAUGUCAUGCUUCAUCUCAUCUGUUUGUUAGGUUAACCAGCUUAUACUGUUGUCGAAUGGGUAGUAGACGUCAUCAAGCCUCUUUGAAUGAUAAUCAUCUGAAGUCCUAAUAGCUCUGUAGAUCUCUGCUACCAACUCAUCAAUCUUUGCUUUGCUGUAACUGGCUUCGUCUGGGACGGUCGGUAUGGGUAUCUCUGUGUAUUCCCAGCGAUGUUUCCGUUUCCUGUUCUGAUGAAGUGUUCUUCGUCUGAAGUCGAACGGA